AUCCUCGCCCGGCGCCUCACUCACCAAGGGCCGCGCCGGGGUUCUGCACUGUCACUGCGCUGCGGUUCCCCGCCUUAGGGAUUCUCACACGGUUCCACGGCUCCAGGCCCGGCGGCACCGCAGCCAUCAUGCGAGGCGGGGGGACUUACGAAAGGCGGAGCUACGCGAGAGCACGUCCAGCGACCGGAGUCUGGAACAGUUCCUCGUUCUUUCUCUGGCUCUGGAUCUGCGUCCCUGACAGUCUUAAAGAGGACAGACCUUUCAUUCAUGAGGAUGACCCUCAACUUGGCCCAGUCCAUGUUUCCUCAGACUCAAGCCUUGCAUUCCUGGCAGAAAGACUGAAGAAAUGAUGCUGUGCUCUUCUCAGUGCUUCGCGUCAGGAGGCUCUACUCUCUCAACCGGCCCCACUAUUGACGCAGCCUCAUCCUGUCACCUGGGCUGGAGUGCAAUGGCGUGAUCUCGGCUCACUGCAACCUUCAUCUCCCGUGUUCAAACGAUUCUCCUGCCUCAGCCUCCCAAGUAGCUGGAAUUACAAGCACCUGCCACCAUGCCCAGCUAAUUUUUGUAUUUUUAGGAGAGAUGGGGUUUCACCAUGUUGGCCAGGCUGGUCUCAAACUCCUGACCUGGUGAUCUGCCCACCUUGGCCUCCCAAAGUUCUGGGAUUACAGGCGUGAGCCACUGUGCCCGGCCGAGACUGUUAAGAUUUUAUUGCCCUAGUACCAGCAGUUAUGAUGUUCUAUAGAACUUAUAGCUGAGCCCAUGCCAGGGAUUCCCCAGCUCACUGAAG
rnacentral:lncRNA from 10 species